rnacentral:lncRNA from 1 species
UAUACAGCAACAUCAUGUCAUAAGAACAUAGAUACAAAAUAUUGUCCCGCCAAAAUAACAUUAGGAUCUCUUCUUCUUCUCCUUGUCUAACUACUACACAUUUCCUUUUACCAACACAACUUUACCAGCCUUUCGCUUACCGCCAAAAUCAAUUGAAAAUGCCCAAACUCAACAUCUCCAAUCUUGAGGAGGGUAUGCAGUUGGAGUCUGUGAAAUGGUAGUUUAACAAUGUAAGCAAAAAACUUGCACCCAACAUGUAAAAAUAGUGAUAAAUAGAUUGCAAUGUAUACCAUAGUUCGUUUGGCAGACAAGAUUGUUGAUAAACAGUGAAAUCAAAUCCCAACGUGUUCAAAAUCCAUAAAGCUACCAAGAUUUGUUCCUUUUUGACCCCAGAUAAAGAUUUGGCAGACAACAUUGUUGAUAAAAAUGAAAUGAAACAUCCAAGGCAGGUUGUAGUAGGAAGAUUAAUUAAAAAAAUAAAGGAAAAACUUCAAAAAAACCCUUCCUGGACGACACUCCCACUAUAGUGUGAGCUAAGUGACCAUUACCUAAUGAAUAAAUAUUUCCAAAGUUUAUGCCACAUCUCUCUAAUCUUAAUAUAUCAGGAAUGGGGGAGGGGUGAAAUCCAUUGAUCCAUUUGAAAAAAAAAGAAAAAGAAAGAAAGACCAGGAGAAAAUAUCCAUGUUUAGUUGGGAAAUGGUAGAACGGCUCCUAGAAGUCUAUAUAACCAAAUAUUGGAUCAUAAAACAAGUAUUUGAGAAGGUACUUCACAAAAACCAAUUUAUAAUUACACUAUAUUGAGGAGAGAAAAACAGCAUCUGAACCAUAAUAUACGUACAGUUAGUGGCCAUCCUUUCAAUUUCAUAUUGUUGCCACCUUGAUUUGCACCUAGAACAAAGAGUUACAUUUGUUACAGUAUCACCUAUCACAUCCAUUAUCUCCAUUAAAAACCCAACUUGCUUUAUGUAUAAAACACCAACAUAAAUGGAGAGAAGUACAACAUGGUUUAUAUAUUUAAGGAAAUAGUCAUACACAACAAGAACAACGGUAAUAUUAUGGCAAAAUAAUGUUAAUAUUAUGGCAAAAAUUCAAAGCAUGACGACAUUUGUAUACCUUCAAAACCUGCUCAACUCGUCAUCACAAGUUUUCUCCACGGUGGUGAUGGGUGAGCUACAUUUGGAUAGUGGUAAGGCAUUGCUUGUCCAAUUGUCGAUUGAAAAAAAUUAUUACACAAGCGACCACUACUUCAAAUAAAGUACAUAUGUUCAACCAUAUAAUUACCUUGAACAUACAAUAAAUCACUUGUUGAAACCACUGGGAUGAAAGUGGGAGACAUUACUUAUUGUGCAAAAUACAUGAUCGUCACCACAACCCUACACCAUAUCAUAAUGUAACAACAUGUAAAUCGUGCAAAGUUAUUAAUUUAAUUAGACAAACCAGCAGAAGUUUUGAAAAUGUGACCGAUUUCUGUACAAGCGGUUCAACUUCUCCCAGUUUACUUUGGCCUACCGUCGGCCUCCUUCAAAACUUCUGUCUUCUUUAAAAUAUCUUGAACAGUUCCUGCAUUUUAUUAGAAUUGAGAGAGUACCCCAAAUAAAUUUGACUUUACUUUUUUUUGUUUUCGAAGUAACUCUGACUUUGAGUCAGACUCAAUAGAAUUUGAUCAAUCCUUUCAUUUAAUCCCAUAGGGAUGAUAAAUCUUUCGCCUGUAAAUUUAAUGAAUGAAUUACCUCGACAAUUCAUGGUUCAUAUUCUUAGCAAGAAAGAAUAAUCAAAUAGAGUUCAUGGAUUUUCCUAUCCACUAAGUCGACACUUUCCAAAAUGUUGUCGUUAUCUGCUUCUAAUAACUUAUCAUCAUCCACCUCUUCCGAAAUUCCUUUCCCUGAGAUAACAAAUCAAGGGUACAAAUUUAAUAAUAAUAAUAAUAAUAAUAAUAAUAAUAAUAAUAUGAGGGAAAAAAAUUAUCUGCAUAUAAUUUUUCCCUUCUACAUAUAUGAACCUCAUUGUUAAUUCAUCUCAAAUCUAAUUAAAUGAACAAAAAUAUUCUGUAAAAUGUGAAUUCUAAAAUUGGUCGAUAGGCUUUCGACAAAAAUAUUCUGUAAAUCUACAACAUGAAUAUUCCGUGAGCAGUAAAUUUAAAAAUAACAUAUAUUCUCAUUUUUCGUGAUUGAAAUAAAGGUCACCUGAUUCGGUUGUUUCAAUUUUGUAGCGUGCUAGCUUCAAAAUAAGUGGUUUACGAUUUUGACCAGUGUGAGCACUAAGAGAGUGUAUAUUAAGAAUAUAAUCUGGAAGGUGAGAACUUGUUUGCCUCCAUGGUAGACUCAGUUUCUACUUGGAUGGAUGAAUGUCCAUGAAUCUAUGCGCUAAUCUUUAUUGUCACAUAAUCAAUUGUUUGUGAAUAAACAUGUCACAUUACUUAUAUUUAUUUUUAUCUUUAACUUUCCCUUUAAACGCCCAUACGAAAUAAAAUAUUUUAAACUAGUAUGCAAGAAUCACAUUUAAGGUGGCCAUCUUGUUGAACAAAAUGCAAUUGCAUGCUAAGCACUCUGAAUCAGAAGAGAAUCAGACAAUAUUUCUUUGAAUCAGUAUUGGAAAAACGAGGAAGAGAAGUACCUUUGUCCGAACUCACAAUGAACCCGUCUUUGGAAUGAAGAUGCCGUUCGAGAGAAGCUGACCGUGUACAGUAGCAAGUAGGCGCAACUGAGAGACUUUUUCCUGCAGUAGAAUGUGGGCAACAUGAAUGCUUUUGAGUUAUUUUGGCUUAAAUUAGAAUGACCCGGUUGAUUUUUAUACCCGGCCCAAAAGUGUAGACAAAGGUGUGUUUGAAGAUUUUUGAAUUCAGCUGCUUUCUACCUCUGCGUGUCAACCCACAAGUAAAGAAACGGGUACAAAUAGCUUUAUUGUUAUAUAUAUAGCGCAUCAACAUGAAUAAUGCUAUUUAAACAGGGAUUGUCUUGGCUUGGUAGCACCUAUGAGGCUAAUUUUUUAUUUUAUUUUAAUUUUAAUUUUUUAAAGUGUCCAUGAUGUUGCUCUACAUGUCUACCUAUUUUUAAUCUUUGUCUCGAGUUUGUUUGUGUAUGCUGAUUGGCAUCAACAAUUGCCCUCUAAUG